UGCCUGAGAGGGGUACACAUCACACACACACUGUCUGAGAGGGGUUACACAUCACACACACUGUCUGAGAGGGGUUACACAUCACACACACACUGUCUGAGAGGGGUUACACAUCACACACACACACUGUCCUGAGAGGGGUACACUCACACCACUGCUGAGGGGGUUACACAUCACACACACACUGCCUGAGGAGGGGUUCACAACAAACACACACACUGCUGAGGGGGUUACACUCACACACACACUGCCGAGAGGGGUAACACAUCACACACUGUCUGAGAGGGGUUUACACAUCAACACACACACGCCUGAGAGGGGUUACACAACAACACAACACUGCCUGAGAGGGGUUACACAUCAACACACACACUGCCUGAGAGGGGUUACACAUCCCACACACUGUCUGAGAGGGGUUACACAUCACACACUGCCUGAGGGGUUACCAUCAACACACACACACGCUGAGAGGGGUUAACAUCACCACACACACUGUCUGAGAGGGGUUACACAUCAACACACACACUGUCUGAGAGGGGUUACACAUCACCACACACUGUCUGAAGGGGUUACACAUCACACCACACUGUCUGAGAGGGGUUACACAUCACACACACACUGCCUGAGAGGGGUAACACAUCACACACACUGCCUGAGAGGGGUUACACAUCAACACACUGUCUGGAGGGGUUAACACAUCACACACUGCCUGAGAGGGGUACACAUCACACACCACUGCCUGGAGGGGUUACACAUCACACACACACUGCCUGAGAGGGGUUACACAUCACCACACUGUCUGAGAGGGGUAAAACAUCACACACUGCCUGGGGGCUAAACACUCACACACUGCCUGAGAGGGGUAACACAUCCACACCACUGCCUGGAGGGGUUCACAUCACACACACACACUGUCUGAGAGGGGUUACACAUCACACACACACUGUCUGAGAGGGGUUACACAUCACACAACACUGCCUGAGAGGGGUAACACAUCACACACCACUGCCUGAGAGGGGUUACACACACAACACACCACUGCCUGAGAGGGGUUAACAUCAACACACACUGCCUGAGAGGGUUACACAUCAACACACUGUCUGAGGGGUAACACAUCACACACUGUCUGAGAGGGUUACACAUCACACACACACUGUCUGAGAGGGGUACACAAUCACACACACACUGCCUGAGAGGGGUACAACAUCCACACACUGCCUGAGAGGGGUACACAUCACACACACUGCCGCGAGGGGUACACAUCACCACACACGCCGAGAGGGGUAACACAUCAACCCACUGCCUGAGAGGGUAACACCAUCACACACACACUGCCUGAGAGGGGUAACACACCACACAACACUGCCUGAGAGGGUUAACACAUCACACACACACUGCCUGAGAGGGGUUACACACACACACACACUGCCUGAGAGGGGUUACACAACAACACACAACUGCCUGAGAGGGGUACACCACAAACACACACACCGCCUGAGAGGGGUUACACAUCAACAACACACACUGCCUGAGAGGGGUACACACAACCACAAACACACUGCCUGAGAGGGGUUACACAUCACACACACACUGCCUGAGGGGUUAACAUCACACACACACACUGCCUGGAGGGGUACAUCACACACACACUGCCUGAGAGGGGUUACACAUCACACCACACUGCCUGAGAGGGGUAACACAUCACACACACUGUCUGAGAGGGGUUACACAUCACACACACACUGCCUGAGAGGGUUACACAUCCCACACCCACUGUUGAGAGGGGUUACACAUCACACACACAUGCCUGAGAGGGGUACACAUCACACACACACUGUCUGAGAGGGGUUACACAUCACACACACACUGCCUGAGAGGGGUUACACAUCACACAACACUGUCCUGAGAGGGUUACACAUCACACACACAUGCCUGAGAGGGGUACACAUCACAACACACUGUCUGAGAGGGGUUCACACAUCACACACACACUUCUGAGAGGGGUUACACAUCACACACACACUGUCUGAGGGGGUUACACAUCAACAUACAACACACUGUCUGAGAGGGGUUACACAUAACAACACACACUGUCUGAGAGGGGUUACACAUCACACACACACUGUCUGGGAGGGGUUACACAUCAACAACACACACUGUCUGAGAGGGGUUACACAUCACACACACACUGUGCAGAGGGGUUACACAUCACACACACUGUCUGAGAGGGGUUACACAUCACACACACACUGGAGGGGU
ensembl:lncRNA